AGCAAAUGAUGCAAAUGAAUAUUUGCUAUCUGAGAAAUUGUGCUGACAGAUCUACCCACCAAGAUCGCUGAUGCU
rnacentral:snoRNA from 1 species